GAUGAACGCUGGCGGCGUGCCUAAUACAUGCAAGUCGAGCGAACAGAUGAGGAGCUUGCUCCUCUGACGUUAGCGGCGGACGGGUGAGUAACACGUGGAUAACCUACCUAUAAGACUGGGAUAACUUCGGGAAACCGGAUCUAAUACCGGAUAAUAUAUUGAACCGCAUGGUUCAAUAGUGAAAGACGGUUUUGCUGUCACUUAUAGAUGGAUCCGCGCCGCAUUAGCUAGUUGGUAAGGUAACGGCUUACCAAGGCAACGAUGCGUAGCCGACCUGAGAGGGUGAUCGGCCACACUGGAACUGAGACACGGUCCAGACUCCUACGGGAGGCAGCAGUAGGGAAUAUUCCGCAAUGGGCGAAAGCCUGACGGAGCAACGCCGCGUGAGUGAUGAAGGUCUUCGGAUCGUAAAACUCUGUUAUUAGGGAAGAACAAAUGUGUAAGUAAAUAUGCACGUCUUGACGGUACCUAAUCAGAAAGCAACGGCUAACUACGUG
rnacentral:rRNA from 1 species